rnacentral:rRNA from 1 species
UACGAAGGGAGCUAGCGUUGUUCGGAAUUACUGGGCGUAAAGGGCGCGUAGGCGGCUUCGAUAGUUGGGCGUGAAAUGCCUGGGCUCAACCCAGGAAUUGCGCUCAAUACUGUGAGGCUUGAGUGUGGGAGAGGAUAGUGGAAUUCCCAGUGUAGAGGUGAAAUUCGUAGAUAUUGGGAAGAACACCAGCGGCGAAGGCGGCUAUCUGGACCACAACUGACGCUGAGGCGCGAAAGCGUGGGGAGCAAAC